rnacentral:rRNA from 1 species
UACGUAGGGUGCGAGCGUUAAUCGGAAUUACUGGGCGUAAAGCGUGCGCAGGCGGUUUUGUAAGCCAGAUGUGAAAUCCCCGGGCUUAACCUGGGAAUGGCAUUUGGGACUGCAAGGCUUGAGUGCGGCAGAGGAGACUGGAAUUCCUGGUGUAGCAGUGAAAUGCGUAGAUAUCAAGCGGAACACCGGUGGCGAAGGCGGCCUUCUGGACAGUGACUGACGCUGAGACGCGAAAGCGUGGGGAGCGAACGGG